UUUUUAGUCCGGAGUAUAAGACCUAGCAUUGUUCAAAUUCAUGAAGAAAGUCUCAAAUUCACUAUUUUGCAUUGGUUUAUCAAUGAAAUUAAAAUAGAGUAAAGGCACAGGGAUCCCAUUUCAAAUAAAAAGAAAAUCGACAAAACAAUUUAGUUCUCGUCGCAUUUAUAUCCUCUUGGAAGUAAGUAUUAUUAAGCGAUAUAUAAUUCGUAUAAAUUGUCAUUUAUACCAGUAAAUUUCACAUACUUUCAAUAAAAAAAUGAGAAGAAUA